rnacentral:rRNA from 1 species
UGAACAGCCAGUAGCGUGAAGGAUGACUGCCCUAUGGGUUGUAAACUUCUUUUAUAAAGGAAUAAAGUCGGGUAUGCAUACCCGUUUGCAUGUACUUUAUGAAUAAGGAUCGGCUAACUCCGUGCCAGCAGCCGCGGUAAUACGGAGGAUCCGAGCGUUAUCCGGAUUUAUUGGGUUUAAAGGGAGCGUAGGCGGAUUGUUAAGUCAGUUGUGAAAGUUUGCGGA